rnacentral:rRNA from 1 species
AACGCGAAGAACCUUACCAGGUCUUGACAUCGAGUGCAUAACUUAGAGAUAAGUGAAAUUUCUUCGGAAACACUUAGACAGGUGGUGCAUGGUUGUCGUCAGCUCGUGUCGUGAGAUGUUGGGUUAAGUCCCGCAACGAGCGCAACCCUUACCUUUAGUUGCUACGCAAGAGCACUCUAAAGGGACUGCCGUUGACAAAACGGAGGAAGGUGGGGAUGACGUCAAAUCAUCAUGCCCCUUAUGACCUGGGCUACACACGUACUACAAUGGCAAUCAACAAAGAGAAGCAAGACAGUGAUGUGGAGCGAAUCUCAAAAAAUUGUCCCAGUUCGGAUUGCAGGCUGCAACUCGCCUGCAUGAAGUCGGAAUUGCUAGUAACCGUGGAUCAGCAUGCCACGGUGAAUACGUUCCCGGGUCUUGUACACACCG